GUGUGUUGGAGGAAGAGCAAGAGACACACGCUCUUGCUCAGGUGUUCAUCCUAAUCCUUUUAUAAUUUUUGAUUUCUCAUGUGCAAAAUAUUUUCUUAGAUGAAAUUGCUACUCCUUGUGGCAUUUAAAUCUGAUCAUGGUUGCCAAAGAAGGAUUCAAGCAGGCAGCGCCAAACUUCAGAGAUCAAACAUGCUGAGAAAUGUGAAAAAACAACAGCCAAAACUUUUUGACAGGAAAAUUCUGUAAUUCUGUAAAGUGGUAGGGUUCUGUAAUUCUGUAGGUUAGGUUGAAAUUGACAUCUCAUUACUGUAAUGCUGGAAUUUCAGUAUGUAAUAUCAAUUUUUUGGGUUAUUUAGAAAGACAAAUACAGCUGAUGGGUAUACGAUGUGGUUUUGUAUAAAGACAAUUUGCUUCUUUCUUCUU
rnacentral:sRNA from 1 species